rnacentral:rRNA from 1 species
UACGGGGGGGGCAAGCGUUGUUCGGAAUUACUGGGCGUAAAGGGCUCGUAGGCGGCCAACUAAGUCCGACGUGAAAUCCCCGGGCUUAACCUGGGAACUGCAUUGGUGACUGGCAGGCUUUGAGUGUGGCAGAGGGAGGUAGAAUUCCACGUGUAGCAGUGAAAUGCGUAGAGAUGUGGAGGAAUACCGAUGGCGAAGGCAGCCUCCUGGGCCAACACUGACGCUCAUGCACGAAAGCGUGGGGAGCAAACAGG